rnacentral:rRNA from 1 species
AGUGAACGCUGGCGGCAGGCCUAACACAUGCAAGUCGAACGGCAGCACAGUAAGAUCUUGCUCUUACGGGUGGCGAGUGGCGGGCGGGUGACGAAUAUAUCGGAAUCUACUUUUUCGUGUAGGAUAACGUAGGGAAACUUACGCUAAUACCGCAUACGACCUACGGGUGAAAGCAGGGGAUCUUCUGACCUUGCGCGAUUGAACUAGCCGAUGUCGGAUUAGCUAGUUGGCGGGGUAAAGGCCCACCAAGGCGACGAUCCGUAGCUGGUCUGAGAGAAUGAUAGGCCACACUGGAAGUGGAACACGGUCCAGACGCCUACGGGAGGGAGCAGUGGGGAAUAUUAGACAAUGGGCGGAAGCAUGAUCCAGCCAUACCGCGUGGGUGAAGAAGGCCUUCGGGUUGUAAAGACCUUUUGUUGGGAAAGAAAAGCUGCAGGUUGAUACGCAGCUGUUCUGACGGUACCGAAAGAAGAAGCACCGGCUAACUACGUG